AACGAACGCUGGCGGCAUGCCUAACACAUGCAAGUCGAACGAGACCUUCGGGUCUAGUGGCGCACGCGUGCGUAACGCGUGGGAACCUGCCCUUAGGUUCGGAAUAACUCCCCGAAAGGGGUGCUAAUACCGGAUAAUGUCUUCGGACCAAAGAUUUAUCGCCUUUGGAUGGGCCCGCGUUGGAUUAGCUAGUUGGUAGGGUAAAAGCCUACCAAGGCGACGAUCCAUAGCUGGUCUGAGAGGAUGAUCAGCCACACUGGGACUGAGACACGGCCCAGACUCCUACGGGAGGCAGCAGUGGGGAAUAUUGGACAAUGGGCGAAAGCCUGAUCCAGCAAUGCCGCGUGAGUGAUGAAGGCCUUAGGGUUGUAAAGCUCUUUUACCCGGGAUGAUAAUGACAGUACCGUGAGAAUAAGCUCCGGCUAACUCCGUG
rnacentral:rRNA from 1 species